UGAGCUCCAGGCCACGACCUGAGGGCAGGAAGGCCACCAACCUCUCUGGGAGCUGUGGACUAUAGCUGCUCUCCGAGGCCUGAUUAACUGGUGCACUCCCUUUUGAAACCCACCUGGAACGCCUGGAUCAGGGUCUCUUAAGGACUUCUCUCCAGGAGGAACGGCCUAUGCUCUUUUCCUGUUCCACCGCACUGGCUUUCUAGACUCACAACCGGAUGCUGCGAAGGCCGCAGCCCAAGGAAGCAGGAAUAAAACAAGACGAUAAGUCAGAAGGUGAACACAGGUCUGACCUAAGCAGGUAAGAGAGUAAAUCCACAGCAGGAAGGGCAGAGCUGCGUCUUCCUAGGUGAAAGCAACUUAAGAAAACGUGCAACAAUGCCAGGCGUGGUGGCACAGUGAUGCGGACUCAGGCAGGAGGAUUAUGCUUUAAAACAUCACUUAUCAAAACCCUGCUUCAAAACAAAGGCAAAACAAAACAAGGCAGCUUCUGCCCACUGGAAAGCAUCUCUAGAUGAAACGGGUCAGGGCGCUGGUCCACUCCGUGCUGUUACUUCAGAGGACCGCGGAUGGAUACUUUGUACUUCAGAGCACCGCGGAUGGAUACUUUGUACUUCAGAGGACUGCAGAUGGAUACUUUGUACUGGACAGAAAUUUAUUCCUCACACCUCUGGAAGGUGGAGCCUGAGAUCAAGGAGCCUUUAGGCUAGGUCUGGGCUCCCUUCAGCCGUUGCCUUGCACUGUCCUCCCUAAGAAAGGAGUGCUCCACACUGUGCACUCCACAGCCUCAUGGCCGAGCACACUCUCCCCUCCAGACCUCGUUCACAAGGGCUCUGCCAAACAGCACCCAAAGGCCCCAACCCUGCUGCUCUGGGGACAGACUAUGAAAGGUGAAUUUUGGAGAGAGAGAUCUUCAUACCACAGAAGGGGUCUUUGGCUGGGCCGGAGCAAGAGCAUCUCAUCCAGAAAGGCUCUCCAUCCCUGAAUAGUUUGUAGUGUGGAGUGGGGUGGAAGUGGGGGACUGGAGGUCAAUUUGUGUACAAGCUGAGGACACUCCUGGCAGAAUCAGGACACUUCCUGGAGGACUCCUCCAGCCCGAGGCUCCUAGAUGAGCGCACACAGCUUCUCCCACACUCCCUGCUCCUGUGGCUGUGAGACCUAGAAUCUAUUCUAUUCUAUACAUCAAGGCUGCUUCUGAGAAGACAGAGGUGAUUUGUUUUGAUCUACUAAUGGCUGUGCAAGUAGACACAUAUGCACACGCAGUCUACUCUGUCGUCUGGGUGGACACCAUGCCUCAGUGUGACAGGAAACAAGCCACCUUCAGGCCUUAGUGUGAGUAUGAGGCAGACAGCAGCGCUGGAGGGGGUGUACUUCUGUGAGCUGCUCCUGUUUCCAAGAUUGACAGUACAGACAGACAGGGUACAUCCUGAGUGCAGACUUGGUGCUGUGGGUCUCCUGGCUGCUGUUUGUAUUUUGAUGCCACUCCUGCCCCUGACCAAGAGUGGGUCACACACUCGGGCAAGUCCAUGUGAACUCGCUCCCCGUCUUAACUGGUUACCUGGUUAAAUGGUUAACAGGCUAGAGCCCGUGACUGGGCAGUGGAAGGGAAGGUGGGGCUGGAAGUUUUAGAGAAAGAAAGAGAGGAGGGCAGAAGGGGACAGUGAGAUGGAGGGACGGAGAGAGGGAAGAUGGAGGAGAGGAGAUGGGAGGUGGAGCAGAAGCACAAGGUCUGGAGGAGCUGCAAGCAGCAGGGAUCUCCUGGGUGGGAAUAGAGCAGUUAGUGAUGAAUCUGCCCAGCCUUACACAGUAGUGCACAGCUUAUAAUAUUCUAACGGAUCGUGCGCUCUUUGCACGGGCUUACUGGGGCAGGAUAUUCUUUGCCUAGCCGUUGUGCUAUCGGGCAGGUUUUAAAGUGUUAGCACUGUCUGGUGUUUUCUGCAGUGACUCAGGCGGGCGGGAGAGAAAGAACACAGCCUGGGCCAAAUUUAGCCAGGCUUUGGAACAGGAAGGUUGGGCUAAGGACCAAGCUCCAGGGGAGAGGUGAUCGCCCACAGGAGAGUGAUCUCGGAGUUCUGGAGAGGCAAAGCCAGCAUUUGUGGGAGAGGCAUUGGCUAGUAGGUGGACGGCUGCUGGUCCAGGGUGUAGCAGGAUAAGCUAUGGGUUGUUUUUUUUU
rnacentral:sRNA from 1 species